CUCUCUCUCUUAUACUUGACCGUACGCAAGGAGAAAGAGAACCCGGUUGGAGCUUGGAUCGACGCCGACGUCGCGCCGCGGUGCCGUUCGAGUGUGCGUUCGUCAUCGUAGCAUCGCGAGGAGGCCGGGCGAGGGUGCGAUUCCGCCGUUCUCGACGUCGCACCGGAUUGGGAUUAGCUUUCAAGAGAAUUAAACCACCAGAGAAAUCAAUUUAUCCUGGGGUUUACAGUAAGCAUUGCCAGGUUCCAUCAUUCAAAUGCAUAAUCAACUAAUGUAAAAGACCUUGGAUGCUCAAACCAAGUUCAGAGAAAGCAGGGAACCAUGAGUCGCAGUCAAAAAGAAGAAUCCAAGGCUAUACUGCGUCAGCACAACACAUAUUACUCCGGGCCAAAUGGCAAUAGUGGCACAUGCGUGAGCCAUCGGUUCCGGCUGCUGCAUCUUCUGAGGCAGAUCAUGACAAGAGCAUUGCGAGCUAGAGCCCUACCCGACGAGUCGUCGAGAUAGAGGAUCACCCGCUGCAGGUAGUGGUAUUUGUUGUUUUUAUUUUUGAGAAUUCGUGUACAUACAGAUGUUUUAACUCGCUGGAGCGAGUACUU